AGAAAGAAAGAAAGAAAGAAAGAAAGAAAGAAAGAAAGAAAGAAAGAAAGAAAGAAAGAAAGAAAGAAAGAAAGAAAGAAAGAAAGAAAGAAAGAAAGAAAGAAAGAAAGAAAGAAAGAAAGAAAGAAAGAAAGAAAGCAAGAAAGCAAGAAAGCAAGAAAGAAAGAAAGAAAGAAAGAAAGCAAGAAAGCAAGAAAGCAAGAAAGAAAGAAAGAAAGAAAGAAAGAAAGAAAGAAAGAAAGAAAGAAAGAAAGAAAGAAAGAAAGAAAGAAAGAAAGAAAGAAAGAAAGAAAGAAAGAAAAAGCGAAAACAUCGCCUGUUUCUUUAAAACAAAGAUAUUUUCUUUGGAAAAGUUGUAUGAGAAAAAAAAAGCUUUCUCUGGGCGGAUGAAACGAUUUUCUGAAGAGCGAGAGAGAAGUCAGAAAUUCAUUAAAAGAUAUUAAGACUCCAGAAAGAUGUCUUCUCAACAUCAGCAGUGCAAGCAGCCCUGCCAGCCAACACCAGUGUGCCCACCUAAGUGCCCUGACCCUUGCCCACCUGCCAAGUGUCCAGAGCCUUGCCCACCUAUAAAGUGCCCUGCCCCAUGCCUGCCUCAGCAGUGCAAGCAGAAAUGCCCUCCUGGGCCACCUGCCCAUCAUUGCUAGCAGAAGUGCCCACCCAAGAGCAUGUAAGAGCUUGAGCUUUUAUCUGCAUCUGCAAAGGAUAAGGACAAUCGGCUCAACUAGUUCCAGAGCUCCACCUUCAUCUUCUCUUCAAAGCUUAUCAUGGAUACGGAAGAAGCUUCUCCACCCUUCAGCCUCAAAAUGCGUGUGGUGAUUCCUGACAGACUGGGGUUUCCUACCUGAGGCUGCUAUACUGCUUCCUUCUGGGAGGUGACCGAGAAAGCAUCGCAGAGCCUCAGAAGGAAGAGCAGCAGCUCUCCUCCUGGGCACCCUCUGAGGAUUCUCUCGAUGUCUUCUGUGUCGGUCGGUCACCUGGGCAUGGGUUUCUACCAGCUGAGCAAUUGUUACUUAUCCUCCACUUCUUGAAUAAAAUACUAUUCUUUUGUG